rnacentral:rRNA from 1 species
AGUGAACGCUGGCGGUAGGCCUAACACAUGCAAGUCGAACGGCAGCACAGUAGAGCUUGCUCUUACGGGUGGCGAGUGGCGGACGGGUGAGGAAUACAUCGGAAUCUACUUUUUCGUGGGGGAUAACGUAGGGAAACUUACGCUAAUACCGCAUACGACCUACGGGUGAAAGCAGGGGAUCUUCGGACCUUGCGCGAUUGAAUGAGCCGAUGUCGGAUUAGCUAGUUGGCGGGGUAAAGGCCCACCAAGGCGACGAUCCGUAGCUGGUCUGAGAGGAUGAUCAGCCACACUGGAACUGAGACACGGUCCAGACUCCUACGGGAGGCAGCAGUGGGGAAUAUUGGACAAAGGGCGCAAGCCUGAUCCAUCCAUACCGCGUGGGUGAAGAAGGCCUUCGGGUUGUAAAGCCCUUUUGUUGGGAAAGAAAAGCAGCAGGUUAAUACCCCGCUGUUCUGACGGUACCCAAAGAAUAAGCACCGGCUAACUUCGUG